rnacentral:rRNA from 1 species
CACACUGUAAACGAUGAUUACUAGGUGUGGGAGGUCUGACCCCUUCCGUGCCGCAGUUAACGCAAUAAGUAAUCCACCUGGGGAGUACGGCCGCAAGGUUGAAACUCAAAGGAAUUGACGGGGGCCCGCACAAGCAGUGGAUUAUGUGGUUUAAUUCGAAGCAACGCGAAGAACCUUACCAGGUCUUGACAUCGAGUGACGAACUCAGAGAUGAGUUUUUCCUUCGGGACACAAAGACAGGUGG